GACGAACGCUGGCGGCGUGCCUAAUACAUGCAAGUCGAACGCAGUUGGGACGGGUGAGUAACACGUGGGUAACCUCCCAUCAGAGGGGAUAACACUUGGAAACAGGUGCUAAACCGCUACUGCUGGCUGGACCCGCGUUGCAUUAGCUAGUUGGUGAGGUAACGGGUCACCAAGGCCACGAGGCAUAGCCGGCCGUAGAGGGUGGUCGGCCACACUGGGACUGAGACACGGCCCAGAGUACAACGGGAGGCAGCAGGAGGGAAUCUUCGGCAAUGGACGAAAGUCUGACCGAGCAACGCCGCGUGAGUGAAGAAGGUUUUCGGAUCGUAAAACUCUGUUGUUAGAGAAGCGGUAGGUAACCAGAAAGCCACGGCUAACUGCGUGCCAGCAGCCGCGGUAAUAC
rnacentral:rRNA from 1 species